rnacentral:lncRNA from 1 species
UUUUUUGAAGAAUUGAGUUAAAUUAAGAAACCCAAGGCUAAGAAGCCAAACAGAAGCAAGAGAGCCUACGACAAGGCAAACACAACGAAAUAAAGACCAAGCAAAGCAGUGAGCAGGGAUACAACAACCGACACAAUCACUAAGAGAUAGUGUCACCCCAAACCCACCACAACCUGCUAAUGAGGGCAAGGCAGUCCGUC